rnacentral:rRNA from 1 species
AUGGAUGGAAAACAACAAUGGGACAUGGUGGACCCUGGAUUCAAGCUUUGCGCUCCAGUUCUGAAGAGAGCAGCAGGUAGACCAAGGAAGAGUCGAAUCAGACCUCGCAGCGAAGGAGCUGGACUUGGAGCGAGGAAGCGUAAGUGCACAAGGUGUGGUGGGUCUGGUCAUUUCGGUAAGUAUUGUGACAACACAGUAGAUACAGCGUUCGGAGAGAGUUUCGAUGAAGGCUUCGAUGAAAAUGUUGGUCAGCAGCCGGUUGCCUCAACAGAUGAUGAAUAUUAUGGCCAACAGCCGGUUGCAUCAGAUGAGGAUUUUGACGAGGUUCCAAAUGAUGAUGGUCAA